UACGUAGGGGGCUAGCGUUGUCCGGAUUUAUUGGGCGUAAAGAGCGUGUAGGCGGCCAGGUAGGUCUGCUGUGAAAACUCGAGGCUCAACCUCGAGACGUCGGCGGAAACCAUCUGGCUAGAGUCCGGAAGAGGAGAGUGGAAUUCCCGGUGUAGCGGUGAAAUGUGUAGAGAUCGGGAGGAACACCGGUGGCGAAGGCGGGUCUCUGGGCAAUUCCUGACGCUGAGGCGCGAAAGCGUGGGGAGCAAACGGG
rnacentral:rRNA from 1 species